rnacentral:hammerhead_ribozyme from 1 species
AUCCAGAUGAUGAGUCCUAAAUAGGACGAAAUGCGCGAUACCCUGGAU